GAUGAACGCUAGCGAUAGGCCUAACACAUGCAAGUCGAGGGGCAUCACAUGAAGUAGCAAUACGGAUGGUGGCGACCGGCGCACGGGUGAGUAACACGUAUGCAACCUGCCUUCAACAAGGGGAUAACCCGUUGAAAGACGGACUAAUACCCUAUAACACAGGGGUCCCGCAUGGGGAUAUUUGUUAAAGGACAACCGGUUGAAGAUGGGCAUGCGUUCCAUUAGCUAGUUGGCGGGGUAAGGGCCCACCAAGGCAACGAUGGAUAGGGGAACUGAGAGGUUUAUCCCCCACACUGGUACUGAGACACGGACCAGACUCCUACGGGAGGCAGCAGUGAGGAAUAUUGGUCAAUGGACGCAAGUCUGAACCAGCCACGUCGCGUGAAGGAAGACGGCCCUACGGGUUGUAAACUUCUUUUGCAAGGGAAUAAAGUGGGCCACGUGUGGCCUUUUGCAAGUACCUUGCGAAUAAGGAUCGGCUAACUCCGUGCCAGCAG
rnacentral:rRNA from 1 species